rnacentral:rRNA from 1 species
UACGUAGGGGCCGAGCGUUGUCCGGAGUUACUGGGCGUAAAGCGCGCGCAGGCGGCCAUCUAAGCCCGGCGUGAAAGCCCCCGGCUCAACCGGGGAGGGUCGUCGGGGACUGGGUGGCUUGAGGACGGCAGGGGCUGGUGGAAUCCCCGGUGUAGUGGUGAAAUGCGUAGAGAUCGGGGGGAACACCCGUGGCGAAGGCGGCCAGCUGGGCCGUUCCUGACGCUGAGACGCGAAAGCUAGGGGAGCGAACAGG